GUGUCAGCAGCCGCGGUAAUACAGAGGGUGCAAGCGUUGUCCGGAAUUACUGGGCGUAAAGGGCGCGUAGGCGGCUUGAUAAGUAGGAGGUGAAAUUUCGUGGCUCAACCACGAAACUGCCUUCUAAACUGUCAGGCUUGAGCACGGUAGAGGCAGAUGGAAUUCCCGGUGUAGCGGUGGAAUGCGUAGAGAUCGGGAAGAACACCAGUGGCGAAGGCGGUCUGCUGGGCCGUUGCUGACGCUGAAGCGCGACAGCGUGGGGAGCAAACAGGAUUAGAUACCCUGGUAGUCC
rnacentral:rRNA from 1 species